AUUUUAAACGGGUCGGACUCGGAUAAAUCCGAUCCAAUCCGUUUGUUUGCCUAAUCCGAUUCCAUUGAAAUCAGAUCUCUCAUAAACAGAUCUCUCUCAUCGUCUGAAAAGUGCGUUCUGUUGUUGAAGUUCAUCGUCUGAAGAUCAAAUCUCUCUCUCAUCGUCUGAAAAUGCUCCGAUUGAUGACGAUGAACCUAGCCAAAUCGAGCUCUCUGCUCCGAUUGGAUUCAUAACGCUCAAUUUCAAAGAACGAAGUCCAAAUCUUGUCAGAUCGGAGCUACGAACUAUGUUUUGGUGGCUGAUGUUAUCGUAGUAGAAGCAAAGAACAAGAGAAGAUACUGAAGAACUAAUAGAGAAGACCAAAAGAGACACAAACAUGUUUGGGAAACUAUUGUUAGCUCUCAGAUAGUAUAGCAUAGCUUGUUCUUCAUAGGAGUCUUUCAUGAGUUUUUUCUGGUUUUACUUUUGUGCCAAAAGUGUGUCAUAAAAUUCUGACCUCUUGUAAGUUAGAGAAUGCAGUGGCAAUGUUUUGGUGGCUGAUGUUA